UCAGGCCUUCAACCAUGGCCGAUUCUGGAGCCAACACUAAACAGAGACAAACCCAGAAGAAGAAGAACAACAAGAAGAGAAAGCAUAGCGAACCACCCCAAGAAUCUGAAAGACCCACCAAAACAAACCGCACCAUUUCAUCAGAGACCAACGAGAAUGAACCACAAGACCAAAACUUUGAAGUUGAAGGAGCUCAGAAUCCCAAGCAAGGUGGUCCAUGGAGGAACCUGGAGUUGAUUCUGUCAAUCCAGAACAAAGAGCUUGAUCUUAACAAGAAGGUGGAGCUAGCGUAUGGUUUUGUGAUGUUGAGAGUGAAGGAAGGAGGAGGGAGCAGUGAUGAGGAUGAUCAAGCGGUGGGCAUGCCACGUUUAGUCAUUUUUGUCAGUGAGUGGAUUCAAUCGUUGUUGAUUUCCGAAGGGAGGAAAGUUCAGAGUGGUGAGGAGAAGCAUCAAGAUGAAGUUAUUUAUACGUAUUUGGAUUUAAGAUGCUGGGAGAUUUUCAAAUUUUGUUUGGAGGAGUCAUUGAGACUGAAUGUUUCUAUAAGUUUAUCGCGGAACCUCUUACGCUCUAUAUGUUGGAUUGCAAGGAGUGCACUGUCCUUAUUGAACAAAGCAUCGUCGUCUCGAGGAGACUUCUUUGCCUUUGGUGAAGGGUUUCAAUUGUACACUACUGUGCUUGAUUGUAUUUCUUUGGUAUUUUCAUCCAAAGAAGGCUUCCCAAAUGAAAAUUUGAACAUAUGGAUUUCAACUGUAAGCUCAGCUCUUGACCUUGGACACAGAAUUUUCAGUGAAGCUCUUGUUAGUGGCAAUGACGGUGUAUUUGUUUCCCAAUUCUUGUGCUUGGUGCUUGAGCGAUUUUCCAGGUUUUUAAGGUCUCAUGCAGCUCGGAAAAAUGGAUUUCAUGAUUUUAGUGAUAAGCUCCUUGAGCCUUUGUUGCAUCUCUAUGGUCUCUUACAUCUUCAGAUUGGUGGAGGUAAUCUCGAUUGGAUGGGAAGCUUACUAAAGCUCGUUAAAGAUGUAUUAUCCCAUGGGCUAUAUCACCCACUCCACAUUGAUGGGUUUCUGAGCUUAUGCAGUACUGAAAAAUACUCCACAUCCAAAUAUGGGAAGUCAGAAGAUCCCAAAACAAUGAACGAGAGUUAUCAUAGACAUUUAUUUGAUAAAGUGGGAAGAAUUUUAGCCGCAAAGAGUGCACUUGCAGUAGAAAGCCUAGGAGUAUUGUUUCAAUUGCUUAUUGAUCAGGUUAAAAAGCUAAAGAGGGAUUCAGCAUUGACUGCAAGUGCCAAAGUGAUGGGGAAAAGUGAAGGUUCUAGGCAGAUAGAACAUAAUUCAUUGGGUCAAACGUCUAUGAUGUCAUCUGAGAGUUGUACAAUUGAAGAAAAAUAUUGUUCAACUAGUUUAAAUCCGGAAACACGGAAGCCUCUUUACUAUUUUUUUGUUCUGAUUAUGGAGCCUCUUUUGCUUGAGAUCAAUGGCAUUCUUGAAACUAAGCUGAAAGUGGGCACUGAAUUAUUGGAGGUUCAUCGCAUUCUUAAAGCUAUCAAUAGUGUACUUUCAGUCUUUAUGCAUGAAAAAAUCUAUGUGAGAACUGAGGAUGCCUCUGAGGGAGCUUGUCUUCAUUUCUUGAAGAAGGUUUACAGUAUCAUCAUCUCAUUGUCCUCCGAAGUAAUUCAGUUGUCAGUUACACACUCAGAUAGUUUUACUCUAAUAGCAAAUGAGGUACUUUCUGCUGUAGGCUAUCUUUUGGCGAUUGAAUAUGACGUUCUAGAAAAUGAUCAGGUUAGCUUGUGGUUGAUGAUGCUUUCUUACUUGGCCAUUGGACUUUCUUUGGUGGAUUCUCCGGAUAGAUGCUUACUAUUAUCCAAGAUAACAGACAAUGGAUGUGAAUUGAUUAUGUUUUAUAGUCAACUUCGCCAGGUGAACAAUACUAUCUUUGCAUUGUGUAAAGCAAUACGGAUUAUUAGUUUACAUAAUAGUGAUGGCGAACUGAACUAUACUAGAUUUGUUAUUCCUUUUCAUGGUGAAGCAUAUGCAAAAUCUGUGGAAAUGCUAUUAUGUGCUCAUGAUUUCAAAAUUGCAAUUCAUAAAGCAAUGAAAUUCAUACCAGAAGGACAAGCAAGUCAGUGUAUAAGGCAGUUGACAUUGGACGUAUCAAAAUCAUUAGAGUGGAUGCAAGUUAGUUGUUUGGAGGCUGAUGAAAAAGAAUCUGCUGAAUGCCAAUUAAGUAACUUGCACAGUUUUAAUCUGGAAGCUGAACUUUUCGGGAGAGGGUUGUCAGAAGUAUAUGCUCUAUUACUAGAUUCAUUGAUCGUCACAACUGGGAACUGUAACCUUCUUGGAGCUUCUAUAAAGGAAUUGAUUAGAGUAAUUUUCCCUUGCAUGAGCAAGCUGAUUGGACAACAGCAGAAGGAUGCUGUAAUCAAAUUCCUAUCUUCAGUCAUGGUAAAAGAUUAUGACAAAGUGAUCGCUAGAAACAAAAACAAAUGUCUGAUAUUUGGAGGCUCCUCUUAUUGGGUAGUUUUGUUCUUCUUUCGAUUGUAUACUUCCUGCCGAUGCUUGUAUAGGCAAGCCGCAAUCCUGAUGCCUCCAGAUUUAUCAAGAAAGAUGUCUGCAGAAAUGGGACAUUCGUUCUCCUCAUUCUCUGGUCGGGAUUGGAUGGAAAUGUCUGAUUGGGCCAAUGAGGGAUUUUUCUCUUGGAUCAUACAACCUUCAGCUUCUCUUCUUGCUGUUAUUCGAUCUGUUUCAAGCAUCUUUUGUAAGGACAGUGCAGCCGAUUCUUGUCCUUUAACUUAUGUAAUGCAUGCUAUGGCUUGUGAAAGGCUUGUGGACUUGAAUAGCCGUAUAAAGUCUAUUGAAUAUUUGAUUGAGAAUGGUGACAAUCUGGUGCCAGUUGCAGAGAUCUCUUCUUUGAGGCAAGAGGCAGCAGGACUCACUGGUUUUAUGAUGGAGCACCUCUCAAUAGUGUCUAAAGAUCAACAACGAACCUUUACUUCUGCUGAUAUGACUAAUAAUAAGAUGGCUAGUUAUGAAAGUGAUGAAUGGGAUUUCGGUAUUUGCUCUGUGAACAAGAACUCACUGCCAACUGCAGUUUGGUGGGUUGUUUGCCAAAACAUUCAUGCAUGGUGCCCGCAUGCUUCUGAGAAGGAUUUGAAGAGAUUCCUUUCUGUUUUAAUACGUACUUCCCUUCCCUAUGUAAAAAGCUACUGUGGGGAGGUUAUACAGCAAAAGAACCAUGAAGCUGACAGGCUGAAGAAUGUGGCAGUGCAUCAAAUCUCAUCACAGUGCUUUAUUGAUUCCAGUCUGUAUGAGCAAAGAUUUGUCCGCAGGUAUUUUGCAAAGCUUUUCUGCCGUGCUUUGGAGAAAUCUACAUUACCGUUCAUCAGUGACUUUCCAUCCAUCAAUGUUAAAUUCAAAUCAUCACCUAAUUGGUCAGAUGUCUUGAGUGAUUUAGAGAGCUCAUCACUGGCUAUUUCCUGCGAUAAACUCAUUGUAUUUAAUUGUUCCUCAGCCUCAAGUUGCAAGGGACUGAACUCUCAUUCAUCUGCCAUGGUGAAAUUUACAGCUUGUCAGAGUUUGCUUAAUCUUUUGAGUUGUAUGCCAAAAGGUCAUUUGGACAUGAGAUCAUUUUCUCAUUAUGUGACUUGUAUUCUCAACAUUGAAAGGAUUGUUGUCGCUGGCUUAUUAGAUUACAAGAAUGCUUCUUACUCAAGUUAUUAUUAUGAGCUCUUCAGACUGUUUGUGUCUUGUCGGAAGGCCUUAAGAUGCAUAAUUAUUGCUUGUGAGGAGACAGUAGCCACUCAAAGCUCAGACACUCGAGUACUCUUUGAGGAUUUACUUCCUGUUUUAUGGCUCCAGAAAUCAGUACAUAUGGUUGCUCGGCUUCAAGAGUCAUUCUCAAAAGAUAUAUAUCAUCAAGUUCAUGAUAUAAUCUUGGCGUUAUUGGAUCACACUUUUUAUGUGUUUCUGACAUUAAGUAAAUAUGAAUCUAAUUGUGCCGUUCGUUUGCUUGAGGUCACUGAGCUGAAUUCUGAAUGUGCCCAUGAACAGAAAAGCUCAUUAAAUUCGUCUCACUAUAUUAAACCCUGGGAGAGUGUGAACGUUGUUGCUAAGAGUUUGAAGGAACAGAUGCAGAUGUUACUUGUAAAUGUGAAGGGUAGCAUUUGUAUUGGAAAAGAGGGAGUUGCGGUUGAUGGUGUAAAUUUGAACAAGUUUGCCUCCAUAAUUUCAUGCUUUAGUGGGUUUUUAUGGGGCCUAGCAUGCAGUGUGAUCGAUACAGAUGGGAGAAAUAGCGAUGAGAAGGCCAAGUUGUCAAGCUGGAGACUUGAACAACUAUCUGAACUGAACCUUUGUAUAAACGUUUUUGCAGAGAUUUCUAGUCUUCUUUUACAAAUGUUUAGUCUUGAUGAUAAUCAGCAGUCUGCAACUGUUUGUGAUGUUUAUAAUCUUCAGAAGUCAGGCUACAAUUUAAAUCUAUUAGGCGCAGAGAAGAUUUUUCCGGAAGGCAGUGAUGUUGACACUGACAUGGCAUGUAGUAGACUGCAGAAUAAAUAUGCAGAUGCAUCAUCUGAAAUUUAUGAUGACCCUGUAACUGGUAGUGUUCAUAGAAGAAAACCGCGCUUGAAAGAUGCAAAUAGUGUUGUAAGUGUUCUCACUGCUGUUGAUUCAUUUGAACUGCAAACCUUAAAUAAGCCUUUGUUGAGAAGCAUGCUAAAAGGUGAUCUCCCCAGUGCAGCAUUUUUACUGAGGCAGUUAUUAAUUGCCUCUUCUGCUAUAUUGAGGCUAAAUUUGCAUGUUAAGAGUGCCCCCAUGUCGACAAGCUUGGUGCAUAAGUUUGCUGGCAUUAUGCAAGUUUUGUUAUUGGAAUCAGUCGAUGCAAGUCAGGUGCCACACUUCUAUUAUUUUGUGUGUUUAGAUGGUGUUCUGAAGUAUCUGGAAGAAUUAGGGAAUCAUUUUCCUCUGACUAACCCUACCUUAUCUAGAGAUUUGUUUGCCAAGAUGAUCCAACUACAGCUAUGGGCUCUGGGGAAAUGCAUAACUUUACAAGGCAAGAGAGCAACUCUUGCAUCUCAUGAAUCAAGCACAAACAUAUUCUUUUCUCCUACGGGAUUUUCUGAAGCAUCAACUCUCUCUGGCUGGGAAUACUUGUUGGAUGAUCUCAAAGCUAGGUUGAGAUCAGCAUUUGCAGUAUUCAUAAAGAAAUCAACAGAGUUGCAUUUACAAUCUCUAGUUCAAGCAAUCGAAAGAGCCUUACUUGGUGUGCGGGAAGGGUGCACAGUGAGGUAUGACAUAUAUGCUGGACUUGAAGAUGGAGGGAAGGUGUCUUCCAUUGUUGCAUCUGGCAUUGAUUGUUUGGACUUGGUUCUGGAAUUUGUUUCAGGACGUAAUUUGAGUGUGGUUAAAAAGUACAUUCAGAAGUUAAUUGCCUGCAUGUUCAAUGUUAUUCUGCAUCUGCAGAGUCCGCUAAUAUUCUAUGAUAAAGUCACUCAGAGUAAAGAUGAUAAUGAGCCAGAUUCAGGAACAGUCAUUCUUAUGUGUGUUGAUGUUCUGGCAAGAAUCUCUGGCAAGCAUGCAAUAUACAAAAUGGAUCUCUGGCAUGUAGCACACUCGUUACGUAUACCUUCAGCAAUUUUUCAGGAUUUCCAUCUCUUAAACCGUUCUAAGUGUUCUGUUCCAAAUGUUUUAGCAACGAAUCCAAAUAACCAACUCUCCUACCCAGUAUCAAGUGCACGCAUCUCUGGUAUAAAUAGGCAGUACUCAAUCGGCCUAUAUUCUGCUUGCUGCCGGUUAUUGCAUAAUGUUGUGAAGCAUCACAAAAGUGAAUGUGAAGGGUAUGUUGCUCUACUUCAAGCUUCUGUUCGUGUUCUUCUUUAUUGUUUGGAGACCUUGGAUGCUGUUCUGGUAGCAAAGGAAGGCUUAUUUUCAUGGGAAGUAGAAGAAGGAGUCAAAUGUGCAUGUUCUCUGAGAAGGAUUUAUGAAGAGCUAAGACAUCAAAAAGAGGUCUUUGGUCCACACUGUUACCACUUUUUAGCUUAUUACAUACAGGUUUAUUCAGGAUAUGGCCCACGCAAAACAGGCAUCAAAAGGGAAAUAGAUGAAGCUCUAAGACCAGGUGUAUAUGCUCUGAUAGAUGUUUGCUCACCAGAUGAUCUUCAACGUCUUCAUACCUCAUUUGGAGAGGGUCCUUGCAGAAACACUUUGGCAACCUUGAAGCACGAUUACGAACUCAAUUUCCAGUACCAGGGAAAAGUUUAAGUGACGAUUAUUACUGUGGGAGGUUAUACCAUCAUCACCAUUUAAAUCUGCUGAUGCGACUCCUGUACCAUGUCACGAUCUGGUAUGAUUGCGAUUGAUUGAGAGCAACCACCAAAUUCUAAAACUCCCAAAGCAACCAAACUUAAAUACUUGUGACUUGUGAGGUCUAGAUUAGACUUGGAUGUAAAAAUAGUCCUUUUCUUCUGAAAUAAGAAUUCUCACUGAGAAAGAAGGGUCAUUGAAUCUUGAUGGGUCAUCAUUGUUGUAGAACAGAAGCCCCUUCUUCAUACCCAGUUCUGGUCUUCUUGGCAGUGACUGUUGUACUUCUUCUCUUGUCAACUCUGAUUGCGUCCUUUGAGGUCGAAGCCCCCAAAUUCGAGAUCAAUUUGGGUCUCAUAGCCGCACCGUUGCUGUUGCUAGCCGUCGUGCAUUGGCUGUCGUCGAUGGAAACUAGCAGGCCAUGUGUGAUGCCACCGUGUGUGAUGCCACCAUGUGUGAAGCCACGGCCACCAUGGUGCAACUGCAGUUAUGCUUGUAAGUGUCGCUACUUCUGAAAUGAUCAUGUCCUGCUAUAUUUGCCAAAACUCAUAAGAGCUGGUUUGUCUAAUUCCCCGGGUCUCCAGUUAUGAUAAAGAGAGUUGAUGUGUUUAUUGGUUUGUUUAUGCUAUAUCUAUGUACUGGGUUGAAUUGUGUUGCUACAAAUACACCAAGUUUGGGUCAUCUGAUUGUUGUAUCGUGACAAAUGGCCGUAAAAGUUGUGAUCUUCAUGUUGUAUGAGAACUGAGAAGGAAUCAAACGCUAGCUCAUCUCAAAUCUCAGAUUACUAAUUUCUUAUUUUAGUCUACCUCGCUAUAAGGGUUCCUCACUUGAGGAUUAAUUUUUUUUUUCUCUGGUUGUUUUAGUUUGUGAAUUAGUUGUGUAGCAGAAGCCAAACAAAUAGUUUCCUGGUCUGUGUCUCAAGAGAUUCAAGUUCUCAUGAAAAGUGGCUGCUAGUACAUUUCCUGAUCUCCAUGACUUGCCAAGGAACUCAUGUAUUGUCUUUAACUAGAAGAUGAGAGGUCUCUGAUUAAUAUAUAAAAGUGAUGCAAAUUUUAACA